GGGGGGCAGGUACCCUAGUGGUUAGAGUGUAGGGGCGGCAGGUACCCUAGUGGUUAGAGUGUAGGGGCGGCAGGUACCCUAGUGGUUAGAGUGUAGGGGCGGCAGGUACCCUAGUGGUUAGAGUGUAGGGGCGGCAGGUACCCUAGUGGUUAAAGUGUAGGGGCGGCAGGUACCCUAGUGGUUAGAGUGUAGGGGCGGCAGGUAGCCUAGUGGUUAGAGUGUAGGGACGGCAGGUACCCUAGUGGUUAGAGUGUAGGGGCGGCAGGUACCCUAGUGGUUAGAGUGUAGGGGCGGCAGGUACCCUAGUGGUUAGAGUGUAGGGGCGGCAGGUACCCUAGUGGUUAGAGUGU
ensembl:lncRNA